GUGAGGAGCCGGAGUACCUCUGACUUGUGAGGAGAGGUCCGCGUGGGCGGCGUGUGGCCGA
rnacentral:snoRNA from 1 species